UUUGAGGAAAUUGGCACUCCACUGAAAACGCCCAUAGUCAAUGUUACCCAUGCGUGGUCAAUGGGCACGGUGCAUUCUGGGCUGGGCUAUUCUGGACAAGGAAAACUCUCUUUUAAGGAGUGAAUGGGAGACAACUGAGUGCGAGCUCAAAAACCGAAAUUAGCAUGAUUUCGUGAACAAGAAUAUCUUCAGAUAUGUGAGAUAAUUAACUUGUUCACUGUAAUAUCGUAUAGCUUAGAAAUAGACACAUUACGUACUUUCGAGGAAAAUAGGCAGGUUUCUCGACCCAUACCCUGACUUUGAGAAGGGAUUGCGUGAUGGCUGAUGAAGAGCGAGGCCCAACUCUGCGGGAAAUCUGUCUCCCUCCAGCAGGUUAAAGUUGUAGACACAUUGGACCUGGUAUUGUCAGAGAAAGAAACGGACACUGUCACACUUUUGAGAGUCAUCAUUAAUAAGGAAUUGGGCAAAUCCAAGGGUGGAGACCAGUACAACGUUGUUCUGAGGCCCUGGAAAAACUCAACUUCCAAAGCAGGAUGCCUUCAAACAAUGAGUUUUCAGCGGACAAUACUGACUAUACUUCUUGCCAUUGACAAGGGAAUUUUAAUAUCUACAUUUUUGCAUGAUGUUACAUCAAAGUGAAUGGUUCAGUUUUUACAGUAGUCCUCUUGGUACAGUUGAAGUUGGAAGUUUACAUACACCUUAGCCAAAUACAUUUAAACUCCGUUUUUCACAGUUCCUGACAUUUAAUUCAGCUUUAAUUUAUUUUAUCACAUUCCCAGUGGAUCAGAAGUUUACAUACACUCAAUUAGUAUUUAGUAGCAUUGCCUUUAAAAUGGUUUAACUUGGGUCAAACCUAGCCUUCCACAAGCUUCCCACAAUAAGUUGGGUGAAUUUUGGCCCAUUCCUCCUGACCAGAGCUGGUGUAACUGAGUCAGGUUUGUUGGCCUUAAUCACACAUGCUUUUUCAGUUCUGCCCACAAAUUUUCUAUAGGAUUGAGAUCAGGGCUUUGUGAUGGCCACUCCAAUAUCUUGACUUUGUUGUUCUUAAAGCUUGGUUACAAAUGGGUUUUCCAAAUGGACAAUGACCACAAGGAUACUUCCAAAGUUGUGGCAAAAUGGCUUAACUUCCUGACUGCUGUCUUGAGAUGUUGCUUCAAUAUAUCCACAUAAUUUCCUUCUUCAUGAUACCAUCUAUUUUGUGAAGUGCACCAGUCCCUCCUGCAGCAAAGCACCCUCACGACAUGAUGCUGCCACCCCCGUGCUUCACGGUUGGGAUGGUGUUCUUCGGCUUGCAAGCCUCCCUUUUUCCGCCAAACAUAACGAUGGUCAUUAUGGCCAAACAGUUGUAUUUUUGUUUCAUCAGACCAGAGGACAUUUCUCCAGAAAGUAUGAUCUUUGUCCCCAUGCACAGUUGCAAACCGUAGUCUUGACUUUUUUUAUGGUGGUUUUGGAACAGUGGCUUGUUCCUUGCUGAGCGGCCUUUCAGGUUGUCGAUAUAGGACUCGUUUUACUGUGGAUAUAGAUACUUUUGUACCUGUUUCCUCCAGCAUCUUCACAAGGUCCUUUGCUGUUGAUCUGGGAUUGAUUUGUAGUUUUCACACCAAAGUACGUUCAUCUCUAGGAGACAGAAUGUGUCUCCUUCCUGAACGCUAUGACGGCUGCGUGGUCUCACGGUGUUUAUACUUGCGUGCUAUUGUUUGUACAGAUGAAUGUGGUACCUUCAUGCAUUUGGAAAUUGUUCCCAUGGAUGAACCAGACUUUUUAGAUUUUUUUUCCUGAGGUCUUGGCUGAUUUCUUUUGAUUUUCCCAUGAUGAGUUUUAAUGGCUUGAACCUAAGUGUAUGUAAACUUCCGACUUCAACUGACACUUGUCAUCAAUGGCUUAUCUGGUUUCAAAUGGCCGUGACACUAUUUUGAAUGAACUGUCUCCAAGUCAUUCUACAUAAUUAAGCAAUGGAUAGUCAUGGCUUGAAUCAGAUGCAAAGAAAAUGUGUGGGAUAAGUAUUUAAUUAGCUAAAUGCUAAUAAAGUGAAAUGCUAAA